rnacentral:rRNA from 1 species
AUCUAUAGCCAUACCACCCUGAACAUGCCCGAUCUCGUCUGAUCUCAUAAGCUAAGGAGGUUCGGGCCUGGCUAGUACUUGGGUGGGAGACCGACCGCCUGGGAAUACCGGGUGCUGUAGGCU